UCUUGCUUGUUGCCCCUGCAGUGUUGAAGCUUCAGGCUUUUUCCUGUAAGUCCUCUGAGCUUCUGCCCCGUCCCGCUGCUGAGUUGCCCUUUUGGUCCCUCCCGGCACAGACUUCAGUAGCUCAGUCACUCCCUCUGCGGCCACGCCCAGGUACUGCCCUGGGUCCAGGUGCCAGCCUAUGGACUCUUGCAGAAGACCGCCUAUUUUCCACAGGGGUAUCCCCAUCCUGCUGCAGUCAAAGCUUGCCAGGAUGGGCUACUGAGCCCCUGGGAGGUCAUCCUGCUGCUCACCCUCAGUUGAACUUACUAUGAGGAGGACUUAAUGACUCUACACUGUGAGUUUAGUGAGAAGAACAAAGCAGAACAACCCGGAAGAGAAUCGAGGGACCUAUGCACACACCCUAGGACAGCAAUGGCAGACCUUUUAGAGACUUCAGCGGUAACGGAAGCCUGCUGUGGCACUUGUGCCAUACGUCACCACCAUUGCUCUAGGAAGUGUCCUUGCCGGCUGGCUUUCAGGUGCUCCUGUGCCAUGUCCCUCAUCCAGCCCCAAGAAUAGCAGCCGCCAUGGUGGGUGGCCCCCCAGAGCCAACUCGUGCCCUUCACUUGAGCCUAUGGAAGGUGGCAGCCAACUGGAACCUGAUCCUCCCCAGCUCUGUGUCGUUGGCGCCUUACUCUGAGCGCAGGAGCCUGGGUGCAGGAUGUUCAGGUUUGAGGAGGGGUCCGGGCCACAGUCCUAGCCUUUGCCUUCUCUUCCCUCCUCCUUCCUGCCUCCCAGCUGGGGUGGGCUCUCUGGGGUUAGGGGUCCAUUCCUGGAGUAGGGAUGGGUGGCUCAGGGGAUAGGAUUUAAACAUUUUAGAGCAUUCUUUAUUGGGGGCCCUUUGAGGCCCUGUCCAUGAAUAAAUGUGGAAAAAGUUGUUUCAGGAGUUUAACAAGCAUGUCAGGAUUGUUUUUCUGUAUAGCCCAAACUAUCUAUAUCCACAGCUUACUGUAAAAUAUAGGUACCAAAAGCCAGGCCCUUUUAUACUUGUGAAUAUUUCUGUAUCACCUCAUGACAACCUCAUAAAUAUUGUUGACAGAUGGAGCCAUGUUUUGGAAAAAAGCCUUUCCAGACACACACAGUGUGGGAUGGGGUGGCUGUUGCUCAGGUGCUGCACCUGGCUGUGGAACUCGCUUGCUGGCUGGCGCAUUCCUCUGAGAGCUGCUUGUGGGGGUUCCUGCCUCCCAGAGGGUGAUGGGGAGUCGGGCCACCCCACCUGAGCAGCCUACCUCAGCCUCUCGGGGCCCUUCCCACUCUCCUCACGUUGACCUUGUUGUCCCGGAUGGGCAGAUACACUCGGCCUGACUCCACCAUGUCCGGUUUUGACAGGCCUGUCUGAAAUGGAAAUAUGGUAGGUCAAAAAUGCAGUGAAUGAACCCGGUCUAUGAACACCCUCGCUUAGCAGCACAGCACGGUGAAGUGGGGCUGUUUCGCCUUGAGACUGCAGGGCUAACAGCCCUGGCAGAGAGGAAGGACCUAGAGGAGAUCCAAAUUCAAAAUUUGAAGCAGACUCUUACUGAGUCCCGUUGUGCUUCCUUCGCCCCUCCCUCCGCUUCCCGCCCUCUUGUCUUCCCCUUCUGCUCGCACUGCUCUGCUUCUUCUGCUUCUGCCCUCCCCGCUCCACCUCCUCUUCCUCCUCCUCCUCCUCCUCCUUAUUACGGUUCUAGGCAUUUGCACUGAGCUUCAUCCCAGCCCUCUUCAAACCUUGCUAUGUGGAGGCAGGGUCUUCCUAAAGUCUUCCUAAGGACGGCAGCUUGCCAUCCUCCUGCCUCACCUCCUGGAGUGUUGGAUUGCAGGUGUGUACCCACCAUAUCAGGAGGACUGCAUACCACGUUGGCAACACGAUAAAGUGAAGAUCCUAAGUUGAAGCAGGAUAAGCGAGGGACCUCGGUGCUGUAUUUAUCAUAUUACACUGUCCUGUCUUGUGCUGUUUUGAUUCUCAUGGGCACGGUAGGAGUUAGGACCCUCGUGAAUUUAUGACUGAAGGCUGCGUGUCAUGCUAGUGACCAUCCUGGCCUGUUGACUAUGACAUGAAAGACACACUGGGCACAUAAUGGGCAGGCUGUGUUAUUCUGGAUUGCUUGGGUAAUAGAAACUGGAUUUUAGGGUCCCCCUGGGGCCACCCCUCUUUUCCCUGGGAAUGCACUCUUGUGGCUGGGAGGAGAAGAGUGGUUUAGUCCUCACUAACAAGGUCAGGGUCAUGCUUUCCCAGUCUGCCUGCCUGUGUCUGGAGAGCUGGGUGGAUUCCCGUUCCCGUCCUCAGGGAUGUACACAGCAGCACGCGACAGUCUGCACUGACCUGGGCUCUUAGGCACUGAGGCGUGGGGACGAUUUGUGGGGUGCUGCUGCACAGUCCUCACUUACGAACACUCAUUCGGGCGAUCCUUCCUCUGCCCGCAGGUGUCCAUCUGGAAAGCCCGUGGGGCAGACCCUGGCCUUGGCCCUCCCCGAAACCUGCCUGGGUCUGACUCUGUUGCCUCUUGCUUCGUCUCUAGCUACCCUGGCCCCUUGCACUGAUCUGGCCACUCUCGGCCCUUCUCUGUCCUUUGUCUGCGUGGCACAACUGUGUCUGCUCACAGUCAGAUUCUCUCACACCCUCUUGCUCUGUUUUCUGCUCAGUGUCAUCUUGUCAGAGGCCCCAUCUGUAGACCCCUCUGUCUCUCUCCUCCUGUGUGUUUGUUUCUCCCAAGGACAUGAUAUACCUGUUUACCAGCUGUAUUUCCAGCCACCUGCCCUUCCUGAUGAGCUCUACCUGGUGUCUGGGCCAAACUGGGGCUCAGAGGAGACACGGACAGUAGGGGGAGCCCUUGGACUUGGGUGGGCAAGUUUCAGGGAAGAAGCAAGGACAUUUCCCCAGCCUGAGCAACCCCUACUUUGCACUGCGGGCUCCUUCUGGAUCAUCACCUAGCGGACCCUAGACAUACACAGAGUCUGGAGGGAGCUCAUCCCCUACUCCACCGGCUCCUGCAGGCAGUCCACGGUGUGGCUGUGGCAUGGGUCUGCCAUUGCAGCCUCACCUCCUGUAUGCUGGGGCCUGUCAGUGAGACACCGUGCCUUUAUUCAGUAUUCCGUAAAUGCUCACUGACAAUUGGAGGGGCCAGAAGUUGACAAUACAAGUAUAAAACAGAUUCCGUGUUGUUAGGAAAGGUGAGCAGGAAUUAGCAGGGCAGGAAGAGGGAGCCACAUCCACUACAGUUCCCAAUACUGGGCAGCUGAAAUACCCCUAACACCAAGCUAGCUUGAAUCCAGGGCUCCCGGGGAAAGCACUGCCCUGCAGGAGAGAAAGAGGCAUGGCUGGAAAGUAGAUGUGGAAUAUAUGUUCCUUACAGAAAGGCUCCUGGAAGGCAGGCAGUGGGGUUGAAGCUUGAAUUGUGUUCUGGUUAGCUGUGGCUGCAUAAUGAAUUCCCCCCCAAAUGUAGUGCUCUCAAAAUAGCAGCAAUCAGCUUAUUAUUUCUGCUGGUUCUGGGGGUGGAACAGGCCCAAUAGUUGCUAUGCAGGUUCUUUCUUGUCACACUGUGACUUUCUUGCAGGUUCUGGUCAGACUGCGUGUGUGAUGGUUGACUUAUGUGUCACCUGGGCUUAUGGUGCCCAGAUAGUUGGUUAAAUAUUGUUUAAAUGCUACUGGGAAGGGCUUUGAAAGAUGUGAUUAACACUUAAACCAUUGAACUUUGUGUAAAACAAGUCACCUUCCGUGCUGGUUGAUUGGUUGUGUCAGCUUGAGUAAGAAACACCCAGCUACAAUUGGCUCGGAAGACCCACCUGAGGGAGGAUUGUCGCCAGAAUGGGAUAAAAGGGAAUUAAGACGGAAGCCUGCGUAUUUCUUCAGAGGGGCUCCAGUCUUCACCUUCACCUUGGACGGUCUCUCCUGGCUUCCAGCGAGGCCCUGUAGUCUCCUGAUAGGAUCUGCGGGGACACUACACCGAGCCCCAGGCCUUUGACCGGAUCCUUCUGAUCUCCAGCACACAGACAGCCCCUUUGCGCUCGUCCACGCCUGCCUGUGGGCGGCCAUUGUAAGCCAGUCUAUAACUGCUGAUAUAUUUGUGUAUCUUGUAUUAUACCUGUUUCUCCAGUAAACACUCACACACCUUCCACAGUGAGGGUGGGCCUCAUUCAGGCCGUUGAAGGCCUCUGUUUUCAGAAACUGUGGUGGAUACAUGAUGUGUCUGUUGGGCUAAUCUCAAAGCUUCCUCGGUUGUGUAUGUGGAGGCUGGGUGGGCUGAGACCUCUGCUGUGGUUGUGUUUCUCUGCGGGGUGCAGGGAACCUGGAGACUCCCUUAGGGAGAAGGCAUGACAAAGAGGAGGAAGUUACUAGAAUGAAAGGACAAACUGGUUCACCCAGAAACUGAAAGAUCGACUCUUUGGGAGCCAGCCAUCAUGUUUGGCCGCUGUCUCUGUGGCCUAAGGGCCUCCUCGAUCCCAGUGUGGGGUAGGGACGGGUAGAUCGGAAUAUAUCUGUGGGAGCAGACGUUGAGAAAUGAGAAUUCUCAGAAUCUGGCCAAGGCAGUGGAGUCAUAGGGGUCUGCACUGCAGUUUGCCAAGCGCACUGUGCAAGAAGGGUGGCUUGGGGCUGAGCCGCACCUGCUGGGGAGCUGCUUUUGCUUCUCACAGCGUUUGGUCAUAGCUCAGCAGGAGUCGGAAGUGCCUGGGAUGUGGUCUUUACCAUCAGGGACUGAGUGUGUGAAACAGCAGAGUGGGAAAGGAGCGUAGUGACGGGAAGGUUUGUGGGGAGUCCCAGUCUGAUGAUUCCAGGAGGAGGAGUCCGGCCUGGCCUGGCUCGGCUCUCUGAAGGCCACAGGGUGGUCAGCAGAGGCAGUCCCGCGCCUGGGGUGGGGGUGAAGCUGUGGGAGAUGCAAGAACUAUCCCACGUCCAUGCUGGAGUUGCUGGCUAUCAGGCCACGAUCUAGGGGAACUCAUGGGCUCAUUGUCUCCUCUGCUGGAAUAUCUACCCGAUUUUACUUCCCACAGUCAAUUCUCUCUCACCCUUCAGGUUCCAGG